GACGAACGCUGGCGGCGUGCUUAACACAUGCAAGUCGAACGGAAAGGCCCUGCUUUUGUGGGGUGCUCGAGUGGCGAACGGGUGAGUAACACGUGAGUAACCUGCCCUUGACUUUGGGAUAACUUCAGGAAACUGGGGCUAAUACCGGAUAGGAGCUCCUGCUGCAUGGUGGGGGUUGGAAAGUUUCGGCGGGUGGGGAUGGACUCGCGGCUUAUCAGCUUGUUGGUGGGGUAGUGGCUUACCAAGGCUUUGACGGGUAGCCGGCCUGAGAGGGUGACCGGCCACAUUGGGACUGAGAUACGGCCCAGACUCCUACGGUAGGCAGAAGUGGGGAAUAUUGCACAAUGGGCGGAAGCCUGAUGCAGCAACGCCGCGUGCGGGAUGACGGCCUUCGGGUUGUAAACCGCUUUCGCCUGUGACGAAGCGUGAGUGACGGUAAUGGGUAAAGAAGCACCGGCUAACUACGUG
rnacentral:rRNA from 1 species